GGGGACGAAAGGGUUCGACAGCGGUUGAUUUCGAGUUGCUGCGUGCCGAGCUGGCGUCACUCGUUAAACGUCGCCACCACUCCCUAAUUGGCGAAUCCAGGGAACUCGCCCUCGCCGCCUAACCGCGGUGACGUCGCUCCUCAGCCGUAACCGAGUCGGAGAGGACGCGGCGCCGACACACUCGGUUGCUCGUCGCGGGCGGUCGGGACCGCGACGCUAAGACCAACUCCACUCACCCAGCUGUAACGGUCGGCCGACGCGCCGGCGGCCGGGGACAACACAAGCGACGGCUACGCACGUAGACGCGGCCCGCGACGAUCGUCUGGACGGGGAGUUCGAUUCUCCCCCGUCUCCACCA
rnacentral:tmRNA from 2 species